UGGAUAAAGGGUACACAGGAUUUCUCUGUUGGCACACAGCAUACAUGCGAUGAAUAUUUGUUGAAUAAAUUGUUUGAGGAAUAAAUGAUUUAUGUUUAAUUCCUUCAUAGUUUUCAAAACAAACUACUUCAAAUAAAAUCUACACAUAUUUUCCUUGAAAUCAAAAACUGACGUAAUCAAUUUCAGACUUGGGUAAAGUUUCCUGGAUGUUUAAAGCAUGAAGCACAGAAGCAAUCUCUUUGCAUUCCAAUAAAAAUCAAUAAAAUAUUUUUCAUGCAAAGAUUAAACUCAUGGCUAAAAGUUAUGUUUGUUUUUUUAACAUUGCUAAUUAUUUUAGGGAGCUCUUAUUUCUGUUAUAAUUUUGUUUAAAGUUUAUUUCUAUAUUCAUGAUUAAUUUAUUUAUAUCUUGCUGUUAAAUCUACUUUUUUACCAAGUA
rnacentral:lncRNA from 1 species